GCCUGGGUGGCUCAGUCGGUUGAGCAUCCGACUUCAGCUCAGGUCAUGAUCUUACGGUCUGUGGGUUCAAGCCCUGUGUCAGGCU
rnacentral:tRNA from 1 species